rnacentral:rRNA from 1 species
AUACGUAGGGAGCGAGCGUUGUCCGGAAUUACUGGGUGUAAAGGGUGCGUAGGCGGGACUGCAAGUCAGAUGUGAAAUGCCGGGGCUCAACCCCGGAGCUGCAUUUGAAACUGUGGUUCUUGAGUGAGGUAGAGGUAAGCGGAAUUCCUAGUGUAGCGGUGAAAUGCGUAGAUAUUAGGAGGAACAUCGGUGGCGAAGGCGGCUUACUGGGCCUUUACUGACGCUGAGGCACGAAAGCGUGGGGAGCAAACAGGAGUAGAUACCCUGGUAGUCCACGCUGUAAACGAUGAUGACUAGGUGUGGGGGGACUGAACCCUUCCGUGCCGCAGUUAACACAAUAAGUCAUCCACCUGGGGAGUACGGCCGCAAGGUUGAAACUUAAAGGAAUUGACGUGG